UCCCAAUCGACCCAAGAGAAAUUAAAAAUGCAUGCCAUGAAAGAGUUUGGGUCUUAGGAGGUUAAAGCAAAUUUCCCCAAAAAACAUAUCACGGGGAAUGUAUCCUCAGCCAUUAAACUUUUAGUAUCUUUAAUUAGAUUUUACUUAACGAUUAUUUAGAUGCUAUCAUUCUCUGGAUUCAUUUGAUAACAUUUAUCCAUAAAAUGUGUCUUUUUUCAUAGUUAAGCUUUGUUCUUUGUUUUCUUUAGUGAUCAGAUGAAGCAGCCAGAACAUUUCAGUGUCACUAAUCACAUUGUAUAUGUAUGUGCAUAUUUGCAUGUACAUUAUAUGCUAUAUACUCUUACUUGUCUUACAAUUCUUUUUUUAAAUGUUUUCUUUCUACUUUAAUUCUUUCAUUAUAUUAUCCCUCUGUUCAGCACUUUGGCCGACACUUGAUGUCUUUUAAAUGUGCUAUAUAAAUAAAGAUGACUUGACUUGACUUGUUUUAUAAUGAUAAUGUCUAACGCCUCUUAGAUUGGCCCCUAACUGUGCAUGGACCCAUGGACACAUUCCUAGGAUGCCCACUGGAUGAUCCAGCCCAGUUGGGAACAAUUUUUCCUCUAUAUUAACUUAUUAUUCAUAAAAGAGAUACAAUUUGUAAAGAAUGAAGUGAAGAGAUUCAUGGGGAUCAGAUCAAUAUUUGAGAACAAUGUCAAAAACAUAAGAAGGUCAAAGCAGUCAGGAAAGCCCUGGGUAAAAUGAAAUGCCUACAUUUGGAUUUGUUUUUAUUUAUAGUUAUUGCUUUUUCAGAAGCCUAUUUCGAGAAUUUUGACACUCCUCUGUGCAGGAACACAGACCUUCUGAUGCUUAUGCUCAACAUGUUUCAGCAUUUAUGUAAAAUCAAGCUCGAUGCUGCCCCCAUGUGGCAGUUAACUAGCACUACAAGUGGAAGAUGUGACUGGGACGCUGGUUAAAAUCGGCCUGCGGAAAAAACAUUGCAUAGUGAGAAGCGUUCAAACAGAGGCCCAGAUCUCAUAAACUGCCAGACUGGAACAUCAUCUAGGUUUUGGAUCUGCAUGCUACUAAACUAGUAACAAAAAAUACCCGAUUUAAGUGUGCCAUUCUCAAAAUAUGAACCCGGUGUGGUUUUAGAGCCAAGGACAGCAGCAAAAACUGUUGACAGCAGUGUUUGAAGUAAAUGAGAAAGCUGAGCCCUUCAAGAGUUACUGAAAGGCGACGAGAGUGCAAGAUGGGCAAGAAGGACGAUGAUGAUGGG